rnacentral:tRNA from 1 species
GAGAGAGGCUUGAAGCAAUAAAAGCUGCUAACUUUUAAACCCGCAGUUAAACUCUGCGGCUCACUCA